rnacentral:rRNA from 1 species
UACGAAGGGUGCAAGCGUUACUCGGAAUUACUGGGCGUAAAGCGUGCGUAGGUGGUUUGUUAAGUCUGAUGUGAAAGCCCUGGGCUCAACCUGGGAAUUGCAUUGGAUACUGGCAGGCUAGAGUGCGGUAGAGGAUGGCGGAAUUCCCGGUGUAGCAGUGAAAUGCGUAGAGAUCGGGAGGAACAUCUGUGGCGAAGGCGGCCAUCUGGGCCGGGCCUGACGCUGAGGAGCGAAAGCGUGGGGAGCGAACGGG